rnacentral:rRNA from 1 species
UACGGGGGGGGCAAGCGUUGUUCGGAAUUACUGGGCGUAAAGGGCUCGUAGGCGGCCAACUAAGUCGGACGUGAAAUCCCCAGGCUCAACCUGGGAACUGCGUCCGAUACUGGAUGGCUUGAAUCCGGGAGAGGGAUGCAGAAUUCCAGGUGUAGCGGUGAAAUGCGUAGAUAUCAGGAGGAACACCGGUGGCGAAGGCGGCCAUCUGGACGACAACUGACGCUGAGAUGCGAAAGCGUGGGGAGCCAACAGG